GGGGGGAGGCGGGGGCAGCCACCUGGCCCGGACGGCUGCGGUCUGGAGGGCUGUCAACAAAGUGGUGUAGGAGGACGCCAGUUACUGCACGGAAAGCAGCGUCAGGAGCCAUAGUACCUACAGCAGCACUCCAGAAAUUUCCAAGGAAACUAUAUUUCUUACAUUGAUGGAAAUGUAUGGAAAGCAUACAGUUGGACUGAGAAACUAAUUCUCAGAGAAAAUAACUUGACUGAAUUACACAAGGAUUCAUUUGAAGGCCUGCUAUCCCUCCAGUAUUUAGAUUUAUCCUGCAAUAAAAUACAGUCUAUUGAAAGACAUACAUUUGAACCACUACCAUUUUUGAAGUUUAUAAAUCUUAGUUGCAAUGUAAUUACAGAACUCAGCUUUGGAACAUUUCAGGCCUGGCACGGAAUGCAGUUUUUACAUAAGUUGAUCUUACCUAGCCAUAUGGCCUGCUGCCUCUGCCAACUUAAAAACAGCAUUGAGGCUGUCUGCAAGACAGUCAAGCUGCAUUGCAACAGUGCAUGUCUGACAAACACCAUACAUUGUCAUGUGUUGUCACCGAAGGUCAUUACAAGAAGAUGAAGAAGGAUUCUCAAGGGGCAUUUUCAGGUUUCUGCCACGGAGGAGAUGCUCUUCACGAAGGGAGAGUCAGGUACAUUGGAGGAUUCAUUGCUGUGGCCAGGGAAGGCAGAGGACAUGCAAAAUUAGUAUUUCCCUUUCUAUCUUCUAGGAUGGACUUUUUUCAUUCAGACGGCCGCUCUGGCUUAAAGAUAUGUACAAACCUCUCAGUGCCACAAGAGUAAAUAAUCACGCAUGGAAGCUGCA
rnacentral:lncRNA from 1 species